ACAGGUUUUGGGCCAAAUUGCAAUGGAGGAAAGGUAGGGGUUACUGUCUUCGCCAGAUAAACACAUCGAAUAUCUGUUGGGGAUUGCACAUUGAAAGCAUUAACAUUUUAGUUUCAAAUUAUUAUUUCAAGAUGAUAACUGUAUGCGAUACUUUUUUUUCUGAUUUUCUAUUCUAGGUUUUCAAUACUUUAUAGUAUGAUUGUUCAAUAUGUAUUACUAUAUCUUUUGAUGUAUGGUCUUGUGGAUCCUGGGAACUAGUGACUUCAUGAUGACUUUUUGUAUCAUAGCAAUUUUAAACAAAUUCGUAAUUGAUAGAUUUGAAGAUAAUAAGUGUAGUAACUUUAACAUUGAGGUUUCCCAUGUGGCCAAGAUCAUAACACUGUACUUGUUUUGUAUCUCUUUUACAUUGUUAACAUAUGAAGUGUGCCUAGAUGAAAGUCCCAAUUUAGUAGUUUAAUAGUUUUUCUUGGUUUAAUAAAAAUAGUAAAGUUCUGGUUUUUGUUUGAUAAUAGAGCAAGAGGAGAUUGUCAGAUCAUUUGAGAAGAAACAUGAACAACAAAACACUCUAUGGAGGGCAAUGAAAUGAUGACCCCUGUGCCUUUUACAUGUUAUUAUGGUGAAAUAACUUAUUAGGACAACUUUCUAGGAUAAGAUAUCAUUGAUGUUGGUGGUUGCUUACUUGAUAAAUGGGUUUUUUAAUGGUGUUUUUGCAGUCAUCCGGCUUUCUUUCGCCGUGUUUUACAUCUUCUCUCUCUUUUAAGAAGCUUUGUAUCCAUGGGAACUGGUAAGAAAUAUAAUUUAUUCACAUCUUUUACUCUUUCCUUGUGUUUUUUCUUUAUGUUUGUGUCCUAGUUCGUCUAGGAAGUUUAGUCUUAUAAAUUUGACUGAAUAAAAUUAUGCUUAGAUCUUCUUGAGCUUGUCUUUUCUUCUAUUGAAUUUCUAUCCAGCAAUCUUUGGAUCAUAUCUCCUACAAGAUGAUAGUGGCACAUUAUUGCUUAUGACUUUGGAAUUCUUGUAAGGAUUCUAGAGAAAUAGCUGUUCUCUUUGUUUACAAAUAUUAUUCUUUUUAGCUGGUUAACUAGCCCUGAAUAGUCAAAUUGAUUUUUGCAGGUCACUAGUGAUUCUAUUAUUCGUAGGGAAAGAAAGGUGUGAAUUGCUUAUACUGGCUUCUAAAAUGCAAUAAUUUACCCACGUACAGUUAUGGACAUG
rnacentral:lncRNA from 1 species